AACGAACGCUGGCGGCAGGCUUAACACAUGCAAGUCGAGCGCCCCGCAAGGGGAGCGGCAGACGGGUGAGUAACGCGUGGGAACGUACCCUUUGCUACGGAAUAGCUCCGGGAAACUGGAAUUAAUACCGGAUGUGCCCUUCGGGGGAAAGAUUUAUCGCCAUUGGAGCGGCCCGCGUCCGAUUAGCUAGUUUGUGAGGUAAAGGCUCACCCAGGCGACGAUCAGUAGCUGGUCUGAGAGGAUGAUCAGCCACAUUGGGACUGAGACACGGCCCAAACCCCUACGGGAGGCAGCAGUGGGAAAUAUUGGACAAUGAGCGCAAGCCUGAUCCAGCCAUGCCGCGUGAGUGAUGAAGGUCUUAGGAUUGUAAAGCUCUUUCACCGAUGAAGAUAAUGACGGUAGUCGGAGAAGAAGCCCCGGCUAACUUCGUGCCAGCAGCCGCCGUAACAC
rnacentral:rRNA from 1 species